ACUGGGAACACUGGUAGCAGUGGGCAACAUUUCUGCUGGCCUGUUGUGGAGUAAGAAACCUCAUCUACAAGCAUGGUUGCGCACAGACCUCCCUGUGACCUUUCCUUGGUCAAACCACUCCCAUGGAAAGGAAGGGAAUAGGGGAGAGAUGAAGGGAUGGAGUGGUAGGAGAGAUCCCUGAAGAGGUCAGCCAGCAGCAAGGGCUGUGCUCCCAGCAUUUGGGGAUGGGAAAGGAAAGGCUGAUGGUGAGACCACAAAACCUGGACUGCUGCAACCAGCACUAGCAUUCACUGACAUCUGUACUUCUGUGCUAAAUUUUGGAGGAGCGGAAAAAUAAAUUAUCUCUGUGCCUCUCAG